GUGCCAGCAGUCGCGGCAACACAAGGAAGACAAGUGUUAUUCAUCUUAAAUCGGUUUAAGGGGUACCUAGACGGUAAAUUAGGCCAUAGUAGGAACGUUUUUACUAGAGUUAUACAUGCAGGGGGAUUGUGUCAGUAUUACCAGAGUAGAGAUGAAAUUUUUUGAUACUGUUAAGACUGGUAAAGGCGAAAGCAAACCUUUAUAUAUUAACUGACGUUGAGGGACGAAGGCUUGGGGAGCAAACAGGAUUAGAUACCCUAAUAGUCCAGGCAGAGAAUUAUGAAUGUCAUAGAUUAUAUACAAUAUAGUUUAUAAAUGAAAGUGUAAGCAUUCCACCUCAAGAGUAAUGUGGCAACGCAGGAACUGAAAUCAUUAGACCGUUUCUGAUACCAGUAGUGAAGUAUGUUGUUUAAUUUGUCGGUCCACAAAGAACCUUACCACAAUUUGAAUAUAUUUAAUAUAUAUAAAUUUAUGUUUAUAUAUUUAUUUAUACAAGCGUUGCAUUGUUGUCUUCAGUUAAUGUUGUGAGACUUU
rnacentral:rRNA from 1 species